CGCGCAGGCGGUUUGAAUAGUCAGAUGUGAAAGCCCACGGCUUAACCGUGGAAGUGCAUUUGAAACUGUCAGACUUGAGUACCAGAGGGGAAAGUGGAAUUCCCGGUGUAGAGGUGAAAUUCGUAGAUAUCGGGAGGAGUACCGGUGGCGAAGGCGACUUUCUGGCUGGAUACUGACGCUGAGGCGCGAAAGCGUGGGGAGCAAACA
rnacentral:rRNA from 1 species